rnacentral:rRNA from 1 species
UGGGGGAUAUUGCACAAUGGGGGGAACCCUGAUGCAGCAACGCCGCGUGGGUGAAGAAGUAUUUCGGUAUGUAAAGCCCUGUCAGCAGGGAAGAAGGAGACGGUACCUGACCAAGAAGCCCCGGCUAACUACGUGCCAGCAGCCGCGGUAAUACGUAGGGGGCAAGCGUUAUCCGGAUUUACUGGGUGUAAAGGGAGCGUAGACGGCGCCGCAAGUCUGGAGUGAAAGCCCGAGGCCCAACCACGGGACUGCUCUGGAAACUGCGGGACUGGAGUGCAGGAGGGGUAAGCGGAAUUCCUGGUGUAGCGGUGAAAUGCGUAGAUAUCAGGAGGAACACCGGUGGCGAAGGCGGCUUACUGGACUGUAACUGACGUUGAGGCUCGAAGGCGUGGGGAGCAAACAGG